rnacentral:tRNA from 2 species
GCGGGUGUGGCGGAAUUGGCAGACGCACUAGAAUCAGGGUCUAGCGCCGCAAGGUGUGGGGGUUCGAGUCCCUUCACCCGCA